UACGGAGGGUGCAAACGUUGCUCGGAAUCAUUGGGCGUAAAGCGCACGUAGGCGGACCGCUAAGUCGGAUGUGAAAUCCCACGGCUCAACCAUGGAAGUGCAUUCGAAACUGCAGGGCUAGAGUCCUGGAGAGGAAGGUGGAAUGCUUGGUGUAGAGGUGAAAUUCGUAGAUAUCAAGCGGAACACCGGUGGCGAAGGCGGCCUUCUGGACAGUGACUGACGCUGAGACACGAAAGCGUGGGGAGCAAACAGG
rnacentral:rRNA from 1 species